rnacentral:rRNA from 1 species
CUGGCUCAGGAUGAACGCUAGCUACAGGCCUAACACAUGCAAGUCGAGGGGCAGCAGAUCGAAAGCUUGCUUUGAUGCUGGCGACCGGCGAAUGAGUGAGUCACGCGUGUCCAACCUGCCCCCCGCCCGGGGAUAGCCCUUGGAAAUGAGGAUUAAGACCCGAUAGGUGCGCCUUCCGCAUGGCGAGCGCAUGAAACUGGCGAGGGAUGGGACGCGUCGGAUUAGCUUGACGGCGGGGCAACGGCCCACCGUGGCGACGAUCCGCAGGGGUUCUGAGAGGAAGGUCCCCCACACUGGCACUGAGACACGGGCCAGACUCCUACGGGAGGCAGCAGUGAGGAAUAUUGGUCAAUGGCCGAGAGGCUGAACCAGCCAAGUAGCGUGCCAGGAUGACGGCCCUACGGGUUGUAAACUGCUUUUGCGGGAGGAUAAAGUGCGCCACGCGUGGCGCUUUGCAGGUAUCCCGUGAAUAAGGACCGGCUAAUUCCGUGCCAGCAGCGGC